AUUUAGAGAUGCAUCUUCCAGGGGCUUCUCAGAGGCACGCCAGGUCGAAUAACUGGCUUCGCUCGAGGAAUAGGUGGUGGUAUGCCUGGAGCUGGAGGUGCUCCUGGUACUAUUGACCUUGACCUCAUGACAACAUUUGGUGACUCUGAGGUCAUGUCGGCUCUUCAAGACGGUAUGGGUUCCCUCAAGUAGUUCCCUUGUUAUUGUUAAUAAUGUGAUGUCCUGGAUGUUGGGUGCCCUCUUUAUAGUUCGAACUAUCCCUGGUCAUGAGCCCCGCUCCACCUGGAGCUGUUGUUGGCGUCUUGUGACGACCAUGUCCUCAAGCAAUUGCUAUGAGUAACUGAAAAAGGUGUAGCCGAAUCCACAAAAGAUUGUGGAGCUCCACAGGAAGUACGAAAGGUUAUGGUAGACGGAAGAAGAGAAAUUUGAGCAUGACCGCUUCGUCGGCAUGUCGAGCCAAAGGUUAUUUUCGUGUCAAAAUUCCCACUCCUGUUAGGAGCAUUCUAGGUGUACCGUUUUUUAUGGCCAGAUCUGAAUUCAUGUCAUGUGCUUUCAACAACCUAAUUAUAAGAAUGCCAAGAAGAAGCAAUUGUCGAGCCGCUCAUCUAGAGACGAAUCUUCCAGGGGCUUCUCAUGAGGCACGCUGGGUGGAAUGGCUAGCUUCGUUGGAGGAAUGGGUGGUGGUAUGCCUCGGGGAAUGGGUGGUGGUAUGCCUGGAGGGGCUCCCGAUCCCGAUGUUAGCAUUUGGUGACCGUGUGGUCACAUCAGCUCUUCAAGUGGCUACAGUUUCCCUGAAAUAGUUCCUCCGCUUCCUUUAUGCAAUUCCCUUGUUAUUUUAAAUAAUAUACUAUGUGCUGGCUGUUGGGUCCCACCUUUAUGCAACUUGGAUGAUAUGUUUGCUACGUGUGCCUUGUUGCUUUUUUAUGCAGCAGAAGCAUACUGCAUAUCAUUUGGGUGCUUGAACAGACGUCGAGUUGUUCGAGGAAAGGAAACCUAAAAUUGAUAUCAUGUAGGUGUGGAUGGGAUAUUUCCACUAAAUACUUGACAGCGGCAGCAAUCCCAGUUGAGUUUAGUUUCUUACUUUACCAAGUAUUAGGCUUCCACUGUUAGGAGAAACUACGGAGUCGAUGUGAUCCAUUAGAACCAUCUGUUUGUACCUUGGAAGAGACGAAUUUAUGAAAAGCAUCAGGCUUCGCUCUUAGGUAGAAGCCUAGAACUAGUGUUACCAUCCUGCUGUUUCAUUACAUGUCCAGUUGCCAUCUUUGCUUAAGCAUGGGCUCCUUUUGAAUGUACCAUAUGAUUGUUUAGCUGCAUAUGGUUUUCCUUUUAGAUAUGGGCAUUUUCAUGUAGAUGGUUGCUCUGACAUGUACCUCCGAUGUGGCUAUAAAAUUAUAUGUACAUGUUAUAGCUUUUGCUUGUCGUUCUUGGCUAGGUUUCCACUUUCCUGCUAUUUCAGUCUGCCAUCUUUUCUUAUGCAUGUCCAGUUGCCUUAUGUUCAGGUGUUACUUUCUCUGGUCCGUUGUCAUGCAGGUGACGAAGGAGGUGUCCUUGUUAAACCGGUGGCUUGUGGAGGCGAUGGAGCAGCAGGUUGGCGUGCCGCUUGUGAAGGUGCGAAGUGGUGCUGUACGUUGGAACCGCCUGGCCGACAUGCUUUCUUCUAUGAUAUUUCUUGUAGUUGGUUAGGUCAAAUGCUGGCCUCGAGCAUCUUUUAGUUUUGCCGUUGGAUGUUUGUUUCCUAGAGACAUGAGCUAGCUUAUUGAUGUCGUGGACCUGUGCGUUGGCUCCACUUUAGAUUUAUAAGCUACAUGUAGAUAUGUUUAUUCUGUGCUUUGGCAAGACAGACUU